UACGUAGGGGGCAAGCGUUGUCCGGAAUCAUUGGGCGUAAAGCGCGUGUAGGCGGCUCGGUAAGUCUGCUGUGAAAGUCCAGGGCUCAACCCUGGGAUGCCGGUGGAUACUGUCGGACUAGAGUACGGAAGAGGCGAGUGGAAUUCCCGGUGUAGCGGUGAGAUGCGCAGAUAUCGGGAGGAACACCAAUUGCGAAGGCAGCUCGCUGGGACGUUACUGACGCUGAGACGCGAAAGCGUGGGGAGCAAACAGG
rnacentral:rRNA from 1 species